rnacentral:rRNA from 1 species
ACGCUCGACACCUACGGGAGGGCAGCAGUCGGGAAUAUUGCGCAAUGGAGGAAACUCUGACGCAGUGACGCCGCGUGCAGGAAGAAGGUUUUCGGAUUGUAAACUGCUUUAGACAGGGAAGAAAGAAAUGACAGUACCUGUAGAAUAAGCUCCGGCUAACUACGUGCUAGCAGCCGCGGUAAUCUGAGCGGGCUGGCAAGGC